UACGUAGGGUGCAAGCGUUGUCCGGAAUUAUUGGGCGUAAAGAGCUCGUAGGCGGUUUGUCGCGUCUGCUGUGAAAACCCGAGGCUCAACCUCGGGCCUGCAGUGGGUACGGGCAGACUAGAGUGCGGUAGGGGGAGAUUGGAAUUCCUGGUGUAGCGGUGAAAUGCGUAGAUAUCAGGAGGAACACCGGUGGCGAAGGCGGCCCUCUGGACGGAUACUGACGCUGAGACGCGACAGCGUGGGGAGCAAACAGG
rnacentral:rRNA from 1 species